rnacentral:rRNA from 1 species
ACGUACACUCCUGCGGGAGGCAGCAGUGGGGAAUUUUGGACAAUGGGCGAAAGCCUGAUCCAGCCAUGCCGCGUGCAGGAUGAAGGCCUUCGGGUUGUAAACUGCUUUUGUACGGAACGAAACGGCCUUUUCUAAUAAAGAGGGCUAAUGACGGUACCGUAAGAAUAAGCACCGGCUAACUACGUGCCAGCAGCCGCGGUAAUACGUAGGGUGCAAGCGUUAAUCGGAAUUACUGGGCGUAAAGCGUGCGCAGGCGGUUAUGUAAGACAGUUGUGAAAUCCCCGGGCUCAACCUGGGAACUGCAUCUGUGACUGCAUAGCUAGAGUACGGUAGAGGGGGAUGGAAUUCCGCGUGUAGCAGUGAAAUGCGUAGAUAUGCGGAGGAACACCGAUGGCGAAGGCAAUCCCCUGGACCUGUACUGACGCUCAUGCACGAAAGCGUGGGGAGCAAACAGGAUUAGAUACCCUAGUAGUCCCAUGAU